ACGGAGGAUGCAAGCGUUAUCCGGAAUUAUUGGGUUUAAAGGGUGCGCAGGCGGCUUUACAAGUCAGGGGUGAAAGUCUGGCUCUUAACGUGAGGAUUGCCUUUGAUACUGUCGGGCUUGAGUAUAGGAGAGGUAAGUGGAAUUUGCGGUGUAGCGGUGAAAUGCGUAGAGAUCGGGAGGAACACCAGUGGCGAAGGCGACUUACUGGACUGUAACUGACGCUGAGGCGCGAAAGUGUGGGGAGCAAACAG
rnacentral:rRNA from 1 species